UACGUAGGGUGCAAGCGUUGUCCGGAAUUAUUGGGCGUAAAGAGCUCGUAGGCGGUCUGUCGCGUCCGCUGUGAAAACUCGGGGCUUAACCCCGGGCCUGCAGUGGGUACGGGCAGACUAGAGUGCGGUAGGGGAGACUGGAAUUCCUGGUGUAGCGGUGAAAUGCGCAGAUAUCAGGAGGAACACCGGUGGCGAAGGCGGGUCUCUGGGCCGUAACUGACGCUGAGGAGCGAAAGCAUGGGGAGCGAACAGG
rnacentral:rRNA from 1 species